GGCGGCGUGCUUAACACAUGCAAGUCGAGCGGUAAGGCCCUUCGGGGUACACGAGCGGCGAACGGGUGAGUAACACGUGGGUAACCUGCCCUGUACUCCGGGAUAAGCCUGGGAAACUAGGUCUAAUACCGGAUACGACCCCAUGGGGCAUCUUGUGGGGUGGAAAGUUCCGGCGGUAUGGGAUGGACCCGCGGCCUAUCAGCUUGUUGGUGGGGUGAUGGCCUACCAAGGCGACGACAGGUAGCCGGCCUGAGAGGGUGACCGGCCACACUGGGACUGAGACACGGCCCAGACUCCUACGGGAGGCAGCAGUGGGGAAUAUUGCACAAUGGGCGAAAGCCUAAUGCAGCGACGCCGCGUGAGGGAUGACGGCCUUCGGGUUGUAAACCUCUUUCAGCAGGGACGAAGCGCGAGUGACGGUACCUGCAGAAGAAGCACCGGCUAACUACGUGCCAGCAGCCGCGGUAAUACGUAGGGUGCGAGCGUUGUCCGGAAUUAUUGGGCGUAAAGAGCUCGUAGGCGGUUUGUUGCGUCGGCCGUGAAAACUUCACGCUUAACGUGGAGCCUGCGGUCGAUACGGGCAGACUUGAGUUCGGCAGGGGAGACUGGAAUUCCUGGUGUAGCGGUGAAAUGCGCAGAUAUCAGGAGGAACACCGGUGGCGAAGGCGGGUCUCUGGGCCGAUACUGACGCUGAGGAGCGAAAGCGUGGGGAGCGAACAGGAUUAGAUACCCUGGUAGUCCACGCCGUAAACGGUGGGUGCUAGGUGUGGGGGGCUUCCACGUCCUCCGUGCCGCAGCUAACGCAUUAAGCACCCCGCCUGGGGAGUACGGCCGC
rnacentral:rRNA from 1 species